rnacentral:rRNA from 1 species
UACCAGCUCUCCGAGUGGUAGGGAUGAUUAUUGGGCUUAAAGCGUCCGUAGCCGGCUUAGCAAGUCUCCUGUUAAAUUCAGCGACCUAAUCGUUGAGCCGCGGGAGACACUACUAGGCUAGGAGGCGGGAGAGGCCGACGGUAUUCUCGGGGGAGGGGUGAAAUCCUAUAAUCCCGGGAGGACCACCAGUGGCGAAGGCUGUCGGCUAGAACGCGCUCGACGGUGAGGGACGAAAGCUGGGGGAGCGAACCGGAUUAGAUACCCGGGUAGUCCCAGCUGUAAACGAUGCGGGCUAGGUGUUGGGGUGGCUACGAGCCACUUCAGUGCCGCAGGGAAGCCAUUAAGCCCGCCGCCUGGGGAGUACGGCCGCAAGGCUGAAACUUAAAGGAAUUGGCGGGGGAGCACCACAAGGCGUGAAGCUUGCGGUUC